UUCCAGAAGUGAUGUCCAGAAGUUGAAGAAAAAUCUAGACAAUACCUUAUAAAACAGCACAGAGGUCACAGACGUAGAAACAAAAUAAAAAUGUAUCCUAUACGAUACCAGGAACAUCUGCAAAAAGAUAGCGAGAGAUACUGGAAGAAAAAGGCAAGAGAGAAGUGAAAUCUAUCUCUGAGCUUACAAAGCGAGAACAAAGAAGCAAGAGAUGGCAAUGGAAAUGCAACCAACGGAAUAGAAGACAGACUUUAAGAGAACAGUUGAAAUGGAGACCUACCUAUCAGGCAACACACCACCUCAGUCACCAGAUAACUUGCAGCCAGAACAUGAGGCCAUCAUACCUGCCCCUAACUUACCUGCCCCUGAUGCAUGCCCUGAUACCCCUUCCUCAUCAUCUGCAACAGGAAUGAGAAGUUGAACACUUGCUGGAAGGAAAAAGGUUGGAAGAGGUCACUUAAAAACAUAGCGAUCUUUGCAUGACAAAUGUCAAACUUGAUAAAGUUUAACGGAAAACUGAGAAAUACAAAAAAAGGUAUGAUCAAUUGAUGAAGAAAAUGGAGAGACAAUAUUCCCCAAAGACAAAUACAAGACAGAAAAUGAAGAGAACUCCAAAGAACUUGAAGGAUUUUAUUGUUUCAAAAUGCCAUCCUUGCAGAGUUAAAGCAAAAGUAUCAAAAAAUACGCAGUGCCAAGGACAAACAAGUGGCUUCAAAAAUGCUCAGAGGCAACAUCCUGAGAAAGUAUGGCCUGGAUAACGCCGCACACAGAGAAUUUGGCUUUUCAGCAAAAGCAAUGAGGGCAAAUGAAAACAGGCCAACAAGUAUGCAAUACUCCAGGAAAAAGCAGUGUAACAUAAUUACUACAGCCACAGAAGAGAAAAUUACUAGAUUAUAUGAACGUGAUGUCAACAUUAGAGCAGCAACAGGGGAAAAAGGACACACAAGAAAAAAAGCAGAAGCGCUUCUUGAAUGGCACAAUUCAGAACCUUUAUCAGAAUUUUAAGAGGGAAUAUUCAGAGAUUAAAAUGUCCUGCUAUGAAUUCUGCAAAAGAUGUCCUUUUUGGGUUGUCAAGCCAACAGUCCAGGAUAGGGACACAUGCUUCUGCAAAACCCACGCCAACCUCCAGUUCAUGGGGACAAACUACAGUAUCACAAAGUGAUCAGCUGCAGCAACAAUGAGAACCUAGUUGAGUCUUUGUGCUGUGAGAACCUGAAGAAAGAGUGCAUGUACACAGAGUGCUCUCUUUGCCAAGCAAAAGAGCUUAACAUCUGACUUUGAUGCUGGUGAGCAGACAUGGUGGUUUGAGUGGAAAAACAAAGCUGAAGAGAGAGAAAAUGAAAAACAGAGGGAAACAUGGAGAAGUUCACUGUACAUUUGACAGUUAAAGAAAAUGUGUGUGGCACACUGCAUAUUCUACUGGAGGACUUCUCCAAAUGAUUGAAAGAGAAGUUGGGGAAACACGUGUACAACAUUCGACACCAAUAAUCCAAACUGAGAGAAUUUAAAGAGAAUCUGCGGAAAGUGAUCAUCGUGCAUAUUAACUUUGCAGAGAACUCAGGGUCGCAACUUUCACUGGGGACAGGGGGGGACAUCCACCCCCUCACCAGAUUCUGAAAUUGCAUCUCUGUCCCCCCCAGUUUUAGCAUUGAAAUGUGAUACACAAUGAGGCAUGCUGCAGACACCUCCGAGCGGUCGGGUAGGCUGUUUUGGAGUGUUUAUCCGACUGGAUGUAACGGCUGUCGUCGGAAGAAGACCAAGGUGCAGCGGAGUUAGUGUUCAUCAUAAAAGGUUUUAAUGAUCAACGAACACUAUACAAAAGAAAACAAAAAACGACUAGCAACAGUUCUGUUAGGAACACACUAAACAGAAAACAAUUACCCACAAAACCCAAAGGAAAAACAUGCUCCUUCUGUGGGACUCCCAAUCAGCAACAACGAGCUUCAGCUGUGCCUGAUUGGGAGCCACACACGGCCCAAAACAAAGAAAUACAAAAACAUAGAGAAAGGAACAUAGAACGCCCACCCAAUAUAACACCCUGGCCUAACCAAAAUAAAGAACAAAAAACCCCUCUCUAUGGCCAGGGCGUUACAUUGGAUAAAACUAAUUAUAAUAAUUAUUUCCCCCCCACUUCAAAAACCGAAGUUGCGCCCCAGAGAAACUACCUGUGUAAAUACAAAUCAAAUCAAAUGUAUUUAUAUAGCCCUUCUUACAUCAGCUGAUAUCUCAAAGUGCUGUACAGAAACCCAGCCUAAAACCCCAAACAGCAAGCAAUGCAGGUGUAGAAGCACAGUGGCUAGGAAAAACUCCCUAGAAAGGCCAAAACCUUGGAAGAAACCUAGAGAGGAACCAGGCUAUGAGGGGUGGCCAGUCCUCUUCUGGCUGUGCCGGGUGGAGAUUAUAACAGAACAUGGCCAAGAUGUUGAAAUGUUCAUAAAUGACCAGCAUGGUCAAAUAAUAAUAAUCACAGUUGUCGAGGGUGCAACAAGUCAGCACCUCAAGAGUAAAUAUCAGUUGGCUUUUCAUAGCCGAUCAUUGAGAGUAUCUCUACCGCUCCUGCUGUCUCUAGAGAGUUGAAAACAGCAGGUCUGGGACAGGUAGCACAGUGAAAUCCAUACACCAGUGAAAUCCAGGCAGUUCACUUUGGUGAUUCUCACAAGCAGGUGACCCUCCUCACCUGUGUUGGAUAUACCACCAAUGAUACAGUUUCACUUUGCUCACUGAGCUCUUCUAUGUGGAUGACCCCUCUACAAUCUGAGCUCAUCUUUCAAAAGCACUGGCCUACUUCCUUGAGCUCUGCCCAUCGGCUACUUUUGGAAUCUUACUUUGUC
rnacentral:lncRNA from 1 species